GAUGAACGCUGGCGGCGUGCCUAAUACAUGCAAGUCGAGCGAACAGACGAGGAGUUUGCUCCUCGGAUGAUAGCGGCGGACGGGUGAGAAACACAUGGAAAACCUAUCUAUAAGACUGGGAAAAAUUGGGGAAAAUGGCGCAAACACCGGAAAAUAUAUUGAACCGCAAGGUUUAAUAGAGAAAGACGGUUUUGCCGUUACUUAUAGAUGGAUCCGCGCAGUAUUUACUAGUUGGGAAGGUAGCGGAUUACCAAGGCAAGGAAGCGUAGCCGAGCUGGGAGGGUGAUCGGCCACACUGGAACUAAGACACGGCCCAGACUCUAACGGAAGGCAGCAGUAGGGAAUCUUCCGCAAUGGGCGAAAUCCUGACGGAGCAACGCCGCGUGAGUGAUGAGGGUCUUCGAUUCGUAAAACUUUUUUAUUAGGGAAGAACAAAGUUGUAAUUAACUAUGCACGUCUUGACGGUACCUAAUCAGAAAGCCACGGCUAACUACGUG
rnacentral:rRNA from 1 species